GGUCCUGUGGCUCAUGUGGAUGAGCGUCACCUCUGGGUUGUGAGGUUGCUGGUUCAAACCCCAGCCAGGACUC
rnacentral:tRNA from 1 species